AAAGCCUACCAAGGUUUCCGUAGGUGAACCUGCGGAAGGAUCAGUAGUGAAUUAAACUUGCUUGGUGUCUUCGCUUUGGAAAGGCCCUUGGUUAAUUCACAUCCCAACACCUUCGAACUGUAAGGAGCAUGACUGGAUUCGACCUGUCAUCGUCUGCCCUUUUUAACAAACGAUUAAUGUAACAACGUAGUCUUAUUAUAACCUAAUAAAACUUUCAACAACGGAUCUCUUGGCUCUC
rnacentral:misc_RNA from 1 species